CAGGCCUAACACAUGCAAGUCGAACGGGGGCAUGGAGCUGAUCGCUUCGGUGUGAAGCACCAUGUUAUCUAGUGGCGACGGGUGAGUAACACAUGGGUAACCUGCCCUCAGGAUUGGGAUACUCCCGGAAACCGGGCACAAUACCGGAUAUGAUUCCGAGGUGAAAUGCCUAGGGAAAAAGCUGCGGGCAACCGCGGCACCUGAGGAUGGGCCCGUGGCCUAUCACCUGUUGGUGAGGUAAAAGCUCACCAAGGCCGAGACGGGUAGCCGGACUAGAGGCCGAUCGGCCACACUGGAACUGAGACACGGUCCAGACUCCUACGGAGGCAGCAGUGGGGAAUUUUGCGCAAUGGGCGAAAGCCUGACGCAGCGCGCCGCGUGGGGGAAGAAGGCCUUCGGGUUGUAAACUCCUUUAGUACGGAAGAAGCCUUCGGGUGACGGUACCGUAAGAAUAAGCCACGGCUAACUCUUGCCAGCAGCCGCG
rnacentral:rRNA from 1 species